AGGAUCAUUACCGAAUUGUCAACAAGAGUUGUUGCUGGCCCCUGUACGGGGGCAUGUGCACACUCUGUUUACACAUCCACUCACACCUGUGCACACUCUGUAGUUCUAUGGCCUGGGGGGCUCUGUCCUCCUGCUGUGGUUCUACGUCUUUACACACACACUGUAAUAAAGUCUCAUGGAAUGUAUGUCGCGUUUAACGCAAUGAAAUACAACUUUCAGCAACGGAUCUCUUGGCUCUCGCAUCGAUGAAGAACGCAGCGAAAUGCGAUAAGUAAUGUGAAUUGCAGAAUUCAGUGAAUCAUCGAAUCUUUGAACGCACCUUGCGCCCUUUGGCUAUUCCGAAGGGCAUGCCUGUUUGAGUAUCAUGAACACCUCAACUCUCAUGGCUUGCCGUGAUGAGCUUGGACUUUGGGGGUCUUGCUGGCUUGCAGUCAGCUCCUCUCAAAUAAAUUAGCUUGCCGGUGUUUGGUGGGAUCACAGGUGUGAUAACUAUCUACGCUUGUGGUUUCCCACCAGGUAACCUUCAGCAAUGGAGGUUCGCUGGAGCUCAUAAAUGUCUCUCCUCAGCGAGGACAGAUUUUGACCAUUUGAUCUCAAAUCAGGUAGGACUACCCGCUGAACUUAAGCAUAUCAAUAAGCGGAGGAAAAGAAACUAACAAGGAUUCCCCUAGUAACUGCGAGUGAAGCGGGAAGAGCUCAAAUUUAAAAUCUGGCGUGCCUCUGGCCGUCCGAGUUGUAGUCUGGAGAA
rnacentral:rRNA from 1 species